CCUACGUGUAGCAGCAGUGAGGAAUAUUGGUCAAUGGGCGCGAGCCUGAACCAGCCAAGUAGCGUGAAGGAUGACUGCCCUACGGGUUGUAAACUUCUUUUAUAAAGUAAUAAAGUGAGGCACGUGUGCCUUUUUGUAUGUACUUUAUUAAUAAGGAUCGGCUAACUCCGUGCCAGCAGCCGCGGUAAUACGGAGGAUCCGAGCGUUAUCCGGAUUUAUUGGGUUUAAAGGGAGCGUAGAUGGGUUGUUAAGUCAGUUGUGAAAGUUUGCGGCUCAACCGUAAAAUUGCAAUUGAUACUGGCAGUCUUGAGUACAGUUGAGGUAGGCGGAAUUCGUGGUGUAGCGGUGAAAUGCUUAGAUAUCACGAAGAACUCCGAUUGCGAAGGCAGCUUACUAAACUGCGACUGACAUUGAUGCUCGAAAGUGUGGGUAUCAAACAGGAUUAGAUACCCCGGUAGUC
rnacentral:rRNA from 1 species